ACUCCCGGGAAGUGGACCGGCAGAAGAGGGGGCUAGCUAGCUGUCUCUGCGGACCAAGGAGACCCCCGCGCCCCCCCGGUGUGAGGCGGCCUCACAGGGCCGGGUGGGCUGGCGAGCCGACGCGGCGGCGGAGGAGGCUGUGAGGAGUGUGUGGAACAGGACCCGGGACAGAGGAACCAUGGCUCCGCAGAACCUGAGCACCUUUUGCCUGUUGCUGCUAUACCUCAUCGGGGCGGUGAUUGCCGGACGAGAUUUCUAUAAGAUCUUGGGGGUGCCUCGAAGUGCCUCUAUAAAGGAUAUUAAAAAGGCCUAUAGGAAACUAGCCCUGCAGCUUCAUCCCGACCGGAACCCUGAUGAUCCACAAGCCCAGGAGAAAUUCCAGGAUCUGGGUGCUGCUUAUGAGGUUCUGUCAGAUAGUGAGAAACGGAAACAGUACGAUACUUAUGGUGAAGAAGGAUUAAAAGAUGGUCAUCAGAGCUCCCAUGGAGACAUUUUUUCACACUUCUUUGGGGAUUUUGGUUUCAUGUUUGGAGGAACCCCUCGUCAGCAAGACAGAAAUAUUCCAAGAGGAAGUGAUAUUAUUGUAGAUCUAGAAGUCACUUUGGAAGAAGUAUAUGCAGGAAAUUUUGUGGAACUUAAGAACUAAGUAAAACAUUACCAUGACUUAAUCUACCUACAUGCUACUUCCCUGUUCCAUUACCCUGCCUCCCUUCAAAGGUAGUUAGAAACAAACCUGUGGCAAGGCAGGCUCCUGGCAAACGGAAGUGCAAUUGUCGGCAAGAGAUGCGGACCACCCAGCUGGGCCCUGGGCGCUUCCAAAUGACCCAGGAGGUGGUCUGCGACGAAUGCCCUAAUGUCAAACUAGUGAAUGAAGAACGAACGCUGGAAGUAGAAAUAGAGCCUGGGGUGAGAGACGGCAUGGAGUACCCCUUUAUUGGAGAAGGUGAGCCUCACGUGGAUGGGGAGCCUGGAGAUUUACGGUUCCGAAUCAAAGUUGUCAAGCACCCAAUAUUUGAAAGGAGAGGAGAUGAUUUGUACACAAAUGUGACAAUCUCAUUAGUUGAGUCACUGGUUGGCUUUGAGAUGGAUAUUACUCACUUGGAUGGUCACAAGGUACAUAUUUCCCGGGAUAAGAUCACCAGGCCAGGAGCGAAGCUAUGGAAGAAAGGGGAAGGGCUCCCCAACUUUGACAACAACAAUAUCAAGGGCUCUUUGAUAAUCACUUUUGAUGUGGAUUUUCCAAAAGAACAGUUAACAGAGGAAGCGAGAGAAGGUAUCAAACAGCUACUGAAACAAGGGUCAGUGCAGAAGGUAUACAAUGGACUGCAAGGAUAUUGAGAGUGAAUAAAAUUGGACUUUGUUUAAAAUAAGUGAAUAAGCGAUAUUUAUUAUCUGCAAGGUUUUUUUGUGUGUGUUUUUGUUUUUAUUUUCAAUAUGCAAGUUAGGCUUAAUUUUUUUAUCUAAUGAUCAUCAUGAAAUGAAUAAGAGGGCUUAAGAAUUUGUCCAUUUGCAUUCGGAAAAGAAUGACCAGCAAAAGGUUUACUAAUACCUCUCCCUUUGGGGAUUUAAUGUCUGGUGCUGCCGCCUGAGUUUCAAGAAUUAAAGCUGCAAGAGGACUCCAGGAGCAAAAGAAACACAAUAUAGAGGGUUGGAGUUGUUAGCAAUUUCAUUCAAAAUGCCAACUGGAGAAGUCUGUUUUUAAAUACAUUUUGUUGUUAUUUUU